UAGGGAAUAUUGGACAAUGGGGCAACCGUAGCAUCCAGCCAAUGCCGCAGCUGAGUGAUGAAGGCCUUAGGGUUGUAAAGCUCUUUUACCCGGGAUGAUAAUGACAGUACCGGGAGAAUAAGCCCCGCUAGCUACCCGUGCCAGCAGCCGCGGUAAUACGGAGGGGCGUAGCGUUGUUCGGAAUUACUGGGCGUAAAGCGCACGUAGGCGGCGAUUUAAGUCAGAGGUGAAAGCCCGGGGCUCAACCCCGCAGAUAGCCUUUGAGACUGGAUUGCUUGAACAUCGGAGAGGUGAGUGGAAUUCCGAGUGUAGAGGUGAAAUUCGUAGAUAUUCGGAAGAACACCAGUGGCGAAGGCGGCUCACUUGGACGAUUGUUGACGCUGAGGUGCGAAAGCGUGGGGAGCAAACA
rnacentral:rRNA from 1 species